rnacentral:snoRNA from 1 species
UUGAGCUGAGGAGGAUUUAAAGUUAUCCCUGACUGAAGUGACAUCUUUUGUGAAGAGUUCUGACUUAACUGAGCUCAA